CUCUUAUCUCACCCUCUCUUCAACUUUUUCCGCUGGCAAAAAACAAAGAGAAACAGAGACAUAUGAAUUCAACUUCUCUUCUCCUUUCUCACCCAAAUAUUUCAAACACUUACAAUUAGGAUAAAUCAAAUAUUAAAGCAAAACAGAGAUGCGUAUGAAUUUUCGGAACUUCAACGAAGAUAGUUGCACACUACGUUACAUGGAAGCGUCCCCGAAGCACGGAUUCAGAUCUAUCAUUAAAAAAAAUCAAGAUUCAGAUCUAAAUGAUGAAGAUUCAAAAACUGUUUCUUCCUCUUCAUUCCUUCGUGUAUAUUGGAAUUAGAACGAACAAAACAACAAAGAGGGAGCGAAAGAGAGCCCUUUAAUCUUAUAGCUUUUACCUCUGUAAAAGAGAUAGCGAGAGAGAGAGGGGCAACAAUUCAAACCGAUUGUUGAAGAAUUUUGGAGAUUUAGUGAUCUUUCUACUACGAAGGCCAUCGACGCGGCGUUGAUAAAGGAGCAGAGUUGAUGAAGGAGAAAUGGUUCAUGCUUCUUUAUGUGAAAGUUUUUUGUUCUUCUAUGGUGAAAUUUGUUCUCCAUUUCGUAGUGACCAACAGUUCCAAAAGAGAUGGACGGCAGUGGUUGAAACAUUGUGUAAUGUAUUUGACAUCUUUAUGUAAAUAUGGAUAUGAGAUCUUUUAUUUGUCAUGGUUGUCUAAUGGACAAAUUUAUGUGGACAUGGAGAUGAGAACAUUAGAUUUUUUUUCUUUGUCA